AUUAUUUUUUAAAAUUUUAUAUGAUUAUUUAAUUUUUAAAAUAACUAUAUAAUAGUUUUUCAUCUAUUUAAUUAAGAACGUGUAUACAAGCAAUAUUUCUGUAGCUGUUCAUAUAAAAAUCCUAACACCUCCCCCUCCUUCAGUCUGAGGCAAGGAGGGGGAGGGGUGUGUAGCUGCGCAGCUGCUGGGCGUGGCGAAGAUGGUGCAACAAAUACUCCCAAAGUGUUAAGAAGGUUCUCUCCUGCCUGCUUCUUCAGCACCGGGCGGAUGGCGGGAGUUUUUAGUUUUAAUUUGACAGACAUUUAUGAUAGUACAAUAUGCGCAUAAAAAGAUGGUACUAUUUCUGAAGCCAAACGUAGACGCGCGUAUUUAAGUUAAAUUUAAGGAUAAUUAUAUAAAUGUCAUCGCUUGCUUCGGUAAU